CUAAAGAUUGGUAGGACUUAUGGAAGUAAUUAUUGUGAAUGGCCUUAGGGGGGCAGAUGGUACUUCAUACUCUUUAUCUUGUGAAUUGGCAGGAUGGGCCUCCACCAUUUUCUUUGAAAGCUUUCCUCAACAGCUAAAUGAUGAUGGUGUUUGAACUUACUGCCAACAGGCAGUUCCAGGUUGUUCCAUUCUCCUGGUCUGCUUGGGCUAUCUACAUGGUUUGUGGUGUAAGCUUCUGUCAUGGGAGAAUAGUUCUCGAGGGCCUGCAAUGUGUAAAGGCUAGCUGGGUAGGCCAUGUUUCGGUCUGCCACAACUGAAACAUACGGUAUAUUAAGAGAGAAGUAGCAACUUCACUGUUUUAGAUGAAACAUACCAUAAUUUGAUUAAUUAUCCUUUAAUUAAACAAAAGAGGAACAUUUCAUAUUUUA